rnacentral:rRNA from 1 species
UACGAAGGGGGCUAGCGUUGUUCGGAAUCACUGGGCGUAAAGCGCACGUAGGCGGAUCUUUAAGUCAGGGGUGAAAUCCCGAGGCUCAACCUCGGAACUGCCUUUGAUACUGGGGAUCUCGAGUCCGGGAGAGGUGAGUGGAACUGCGAGUGUAGAGGUGAAAUUCGUAGAUAUUCGCAAGAACACCAGUGGCGAAGGCGGACUCACUGGCCCG